CUGGUUAUAGCUCAGCGGCAGAGCACCGGAUUUGAGAUCCGGCAGUCGCGGGUUCGACUCCCGCUAACUAGCCCA
rnacentral:tRNA from 1 species